rnacentral:rRNA from 1 species
CUUAGCUACGGUGCAUGGGGCUGUGGUAGGCGGAGGGUGUGAGUGUUAAACGGAAUUACUGGGCGUGAAGGGGGCGCAGUCGGUUUUGUAAUGCAGAUGUGAAAUACGCGGGCUCAACGUGGGAACUGCAUUUGAGACUGCAAGGCUAGAGUGUGGCAGAGGGGGGUAGAAUUCCACGUGGAGCAGUGAAAUGCGUAGAGAUGUGGAGGAAUACCGAUGGCGAAGGCAGCCCCCUGGGUCACUACUGACGCUCAUGCACGAAAGCGUGGGGAGCAAACAGGAUUAGAUACCCUUGUAGUC